rnacentral:ribozyme from 1 species
GCUGCUCUAAUAAUCACACACCUCUCCGCAGUGGGCAGCAGGCAACGAUCUUAUGGUCGGCGAAGAUGUGAGA